UGGGAGACUCAAAACCCUGUUCAACUCUCUCUGGGCUAGCUGCUCCCCUCCCCAAGAGGAUUUCUCUCCAGAGCUGGUAUCAUCGCUUAAUGAUGUUCCACCAACAAGGGGAAGAUUCAGCCAUGUCUUCCUAGGAUCCAGCAUCCAAACCUGGACCAAAGUCCUCGGAUCCUCAGCAAUGGGGGUGCAUCUGGUGAUGGUGUUCAUGCUAAAUUUGUGCCAAGAGACACCUGUACUUGUGGGAGAAUUAAUAUUUCACUUCUGUUUAGGUUUCUUUUCUGGGAGCUGCUAUCACUGAAUACAUAAAGAAAUUGAGCCUAUAUGAUUUCAAUCUUCACCUUCUGAUGCUGAUGAAACAGGAUUCUAUGCAGAGAAAAUCCUCUCCAGUCAAGUAAUUGCAUCCAUUUCAUCUUCCCAGCCCUCCUCUAGAUGGGAGGUGGAGGUGUGUGUACCAAUCUCUUAAUUCAGAAAUGAGACAAGAGGAGGAAAAAGGAGUUCCGGAGGUGUGUGAUCCAAGUCUGGCUGCAGGCUAUGGACAUUCCAGGAGGGAGACUCCAUCAGAGAAGUGGAGCUGGAGUUGGGUGUUAGAGGGUAAAGGGAGGGUUUGAACAGGCAAGGGAUGGGGGAGGAGUGCCUUACAGUGGGAGAGGGAGAGGCUGCUUGAAAAAGCAUAGAGCUGUGAGUGAGCAUGCGUGCCCAAGGAGAGGGAGCCAGGCACUGCCAGGGUGCAGGUGGGGCAGACUGGCUAGGUGUGUGGCCAGGGUGUGGAAGG
rnacentral:lncRNA from 1 species